CCAUCCUAUAUAUAAUCAAGAAAAAAGACCGACUGUCCCUAGCGCAAAUGACAAAGAACUUGAUGGUUGAUACCCGAGAUUCCAAAUUUUAAUUCUAUUUUUUUUAAUUUUGAGAGAAAGGUACCAUGCUAGUCGCUUCAUUUUUUUUUUAUUUACAUAUCAUUCUCCUAAUUCGAAUUCUAGCUAAUUCAUAUUUCCAGCUAAAUUUAUUUUUUUAAAAAAAUAAACAAAGUGCAUAACAUAAUAUAU
rnacentral:lncRNA from 1 species